rnacentral:rRNA from 1 species
CGUAGGGGCGAAGCGUUGUCCGGAAUCAUUGGGCGUAAAGCGCGUGUAGGCGGCUCGGUAAGUCUGCUGUGAAAGUCCAGGGCUCAACCCUGGGAUGCCGGUGGAUACUGUCGAGCUCGAGUCCGGAAGAGGCGAGUGGAAUUCCUGGUGUAGCGGUGAAAUGCGCAGAUAUCAGGAGGAACACCAAUGGCGAAGGCAGCUCGCUGGGACGUGACUGACGCUGAGACGCGAAAGCGUGGGGAGCAAACAGGAUU